AUUGAACGCUGGCGGCAGGCCUAACACAUGCAAGUCGAGCGAGAAAGGUCUUCGGACUGAGUACAGCGGCGGACGGGUGAGUAAUGCGCAGGAAUCUACCUGGUAGUGGGGGAUAACUCGGGGAAACUCGAACUAAUACCGCAUACGCCCUACGGGGGAAAGCGGGGGACCUUCGGGCCUCGCGCUAUCAGAUGAGCCUGCGUAGGAUUAGCUUGUUGGUGAGGUAAAGGCUCACCAAGGCGACGAUCCUUAGCUGGUCUGAGAGGAUGAUCAGCCACACUGGAACUGAGACACGGUCCAGACUCCUACGGGAGCAGCAGUGGGGAAUAUUGCGCAAUGGGCGAAAGCCUGACGCAGCCAUGCCGCGUGUGUGAAGAAGGCCCUUGGGUUGUAAAGCACUUUCAAUUGGGAAGAAAGGUUGCGUGUUAAUAGCACGUAGUCNGUGACGUUACCUUUAGAAGAAGCACCGGCUAACUCCGUGCCA
rnacentral:rRNA from 1 species